rnacentral:tRNA from 1 species
CCUUCGAUAGCUCAGUAGGUACUGCGGUGGACUGUAGUUGCAAUUUGAAAAAAAAAAAACCAAAGGUCGCUGGUUCAAAUCCGGCUCGAAGGA